rnacentral:rRNA from 1 species
AGCGAACGUUAGCGGCGCGCCUAACACAUGCAAGUCGCACGAGAAAGGGAGCAAUCCCUGGUACAGUGGCGCACGGGUGAGUAACACGUAGAUGACCUUCCCUGGAGUGGUGGAUAACCUGCCGAAAGGCGGGCUAAUACAGCAUGGGACCACAUGGUUUUGACCGAGUGGUGAAAGCGGGCCUCUGUUCACAAGCUCGCGCUCUGGGAUGGGUCUGCGUCCCAUCAGCUAGUUGGUGAGGUAAUGGCUCACCAAGGCAUCGACGGGUAGCUGGUCUGAGAGGAUGACCGGCCACACUGGAACUGAGACACGGUCCAGACUCCUACGGGAGGCAGCAGUGGGGAAUCUUGCGCAAUGGGCGAAAGCCUGACGCAGCGACGCCGCGUGGGUGAUGAAGGCCUCGGUUGUAAGCCUCGUGGGNGGACGAACGUACGGGGCGGAACGACCUCCGUACCUCGACGGUACC